rnacentral:rRNA from 1 species
CCUACGGGUGGCAGCAGUGAGGAAUAUUGGUCAAUGGACGAGAGUCUGAACCAGCCAAGUAGCGUGAAGGAUGACUGCCCUAUGGGUUGUAAACUUCUUUUAUAAAGGAAUAAAACGAGGCACGUGUGCCUUUUUGCAUGUACUUUAUGAAUAAGGAUCGGCUAACUCCGUGCCAGCAGCCGCGGUAAUACGGAGGAUCCGAGCGUUAUCCGGAUUUAUUGGGUUUAAAGGCAGCGUAGAUUGGUUGUUCAGUCAGUUGGGAAAGUUUGCGGCGCAACCGUAAAAUUGCAAUUGAUACUUGCAGUCUGGAGUAGAGUUGAGGUAGGCGGAAGUCGUGGGGUAGCGGUGAAAUGCUUAG